CCUACGGGGGGCAGCAGUGGGGAAUAUUGGACAAUGGGGGCAACCCUGAUCCAGCCAUGCCGCGUGUGUGAAGAAGGCCCUCGGGUUGUAAAGCACUUUCAGUGAGGAAGAACGCCUGGUGGUUAAUACCCAUCAGGAAAGACAUCACUCACAGAAGAAGCACCGGUUAACUCCGUGCCAGCAGCCGCGGUAAUACGGAGGGUGCGAGCGUUAAUCGGAAUUACUGGGCGUAAAGCGCGCGUAGGUGGCUUGAUAAGCCGGUUGUGAAAGCCCCGGGCUCAACCUGGGAACGGCAUCCGGAACUGUCAAGCUAGAGUGCAGGAGAGGAAGGUAGAAUUCCCGGUGUAGCGGUGAAAUGCGUAGAGAUCGGGAGGAAUACCAGUGGCGAAGGCGGCCUUCUGGACUGACACUGACACUGAGGUGCGAAAGCGUGGGUAGCAAACAGGAUUAGAUACCCUUGUAGUC
rnacentral:rRNA from 1 species